UUAUUCAGUGCAUCGUUCUUUAAGAUCACACUACGUGUCGAUGCUUCAGAACAAAAGCCCAAAAUCUUUUGUCCGGUCAGUCAGUGGAGAGGGUCCCACCUUUCUGAAUCCCCACUUUUUUGUCAUGAGCUCACCCUGUCCAGGGUUAAGAGCUAUGAGGUCUUAUCCUCAUUACCCUUUUGAUCUGCUCACCCUGACGUUCAGUGUCAGUGGUUAAGAGCCCAUUUGAUUACCUUCCCAUGGCUUGUUUGUCGAGGUUGAUAUGACCCCUCUUGACUAAAGCCCUACCCAUGUAUGUUUAAGCCCCCUUGUUGGCGUGUUUACUUUAUGCAUGUUUGUUUUGUAUGGUGUGAUCGUCUCCCCAUAGGAUUGCUAGGCUUCGUAUAGUCUC
rnacentral:lncRNA from 1 species